ACGCGACCCCAAGUCAG
rnacentral:rRNA from 1 species